rnacentral:lncRNA from 1 species
UUCCUUGGUCCAAACAUUAGAUAGCUCUUUUCCCUCUCUGGACGUUCCACAUUGAGAUGGAAAUUCGUCUGUUCUUCAACCUCUUAACCAUCUCUUCUCUUUUAAAUUACUUGAAUAUCACAAACAUAAACAUUGGGUGAAGAGAAAUGACUUUCUCUAUAUUUAUAUCUAUGCAAUUAGUUCUUUCAUUUGCUUCCAAAUUCACCCAUCUUACUUACUCAAAAGCUUUGAAUAUUCUACUUGAAAUCUUGCUCCUAGCUUCGGGCACCUCUGACAUAAACAGAAAUAGCGUAUAUAAAAGGCUAGCCUUUUC